rnacentral:antisense_RNA from 1 species
GUACGCUUUAAGCGUUCGCUGACACAGGGCCGAGCGCACGCAGUCGUCUUUGGUAAAACGCACCAGGCCCACCAUCUCAUCUUCUUCAAAACGUGCCAGCGCGUCGCUCAGGCCGGACUGGACGCCCGACGGCAGGUCGCACUGGGUGAUGUCGCCGUUGACGAUCACCGUCACGUUCUCCCCGAGGCGCGU